AUUCAUAAAUUAUAUAUCUUCGAUGAUAUUCGAUGAUAGAGCUUUUGUAUCAACAAUCCAUUCUGUUAAAUCUAGUUGAAAACUUUUAAAAUAUUUAGAAAUCAAAUUUUAUAAAUUUUAAAAAUUAUAAUGUCUAUCAAGCUGAUAUAAAAAAAAAAGAUCAAAAUCGAAUGACUUUCUAAAAAUAAAAGGCCAGAUUCUUCAAUUCACAAUCAGAAUUAUGAAUUUUAAUUUAGGUGGUGCAUAGAAUUUUUCAUCAAAAAUUCAGCUUAAUUUAUUUUUAGAAAUGAAGUCUGCUAAAAAUAUAAACAAAUAGGAUCGAUUCGAACUAGAAACUUCGCAUACCAACCAUCAAAACCUUAGCGAGCUAGAAACAAUCAAUAUUUCUAAAAUUUUUAAUCAGCUUAAAUUAUGUUUAAUGGUAUGAACUAUCGAUCCGAAAAUUUAUUAUCGAAAACAACCCACCAGAACGAAGAUGAUCGUACAUAUAAAAGUGUAGUAGCUAGA
rnacentral:lncRNA from 1 species